UACGUAGGGGGCGAGCGUUGUCCGAAGUUACUGGGCGUAAAGCGCGCGUAGGCGGGGGGUUAAGUGAGAGGUGAAAGGCUGGGGCUCAACCUCAUGCAGUGCCUCUCAUACUGGCCUUCUUGAGGGCGGUAGGGAGAAGUGGAAUGGCUGGUGUAGCGGUGAAAUGCGUAGAUAUCUGGAGGAACACCGGUGGCGAAGGCGGCAUCCUGGACCGACACUGACACUGAGGAGCGAAAGCCAGGGGAGCAAACGGG
rnacentral:rRNA from 1 species